GUGCUCGCUUCGGCAGCACGUAUACUAAAAUUGGAACGAUACAGAGAAGAUUAGCAUGGUCCCUACACAAGGAUGACACACAAAUUUGUGAAGCGUUCCAUAUUUUU
rnacentral:snRNA from 1 species